rnacentral:lncRNA from 1 species
AUCGGUUGUUGGGUUGCUGCCCCUGAAUUGUUAAUUUUGAGGAAAUUUUGCUGUUUUUGGUUAUUAUCUUGAAUAUUAUUAUAGAUAGAGAUAAAUUGUAAACAGCAAUAAUGUUCAGCAAAGUAAGAUCUACAAAAUAAGUCAACAUGACCAAAAUGGUCAGUUGACCCGUUUAGGAGUUAUUGCCUUUUAUAGUCAAUUUUUAACCAUUUUUCGUUAAUUAAAGUAAUCUUUUACAAAAAUCUUCUCCUCUGAAACUACUUGGCCAAAUUAAUCCAAACUUGGCCACAAUCAUCUUUGGGGUAUCUAGUUUAAAAAAUGUGUGGCGUGACCUGGUCAACCAACCAAGAUGGCCGCCACGGCUAAAAAUAGAACAAAGGGGUAAAAUGCAGUUUUUUGGCUUAUAACUCAAAAACCAAAGCAUUUUGAGGAAAUCUGACAUUGGAUAAAAAUGUUUAUUAGGUCAAGAUCUAUCUGCCCUGAAAUUUUCAGAUGAAUCGGUCAAUCGGUUGUUGGGUUGCUGCCCCUGAAUUGGUAAUUUUGAGGAAAUUUUGCUGUUUUUGGUUAUUAUCUUGAAUAUUAUUAUAGAUAGAGAUAAACUGUAAACAGCAAUAAUGUUCAGCAAAGUAAGAUCUACAAAUAAGUCAACAUGACCAAAAUGGUCAGUUGACCCGUUUAGGAGUUAUUGCCCUUUAUAGUCAAUUUUUAACCAUUUUUCGUAAAUUAAAGUAAUCUUUUACAAAAAUCUUCUCCUCUGAAACUACUGGGCCAAAUUAAUCCAAACUUGGCCACAAUCAUCUUUGGGGUAUCUAGUUUAAAAAAUGUGUGGCGUGACCUGGUCAACCAACCAAGAUGGCCGCCACCGCUAAAAAUAGAACAUAGGGGUAAAAUGCAGUUUUUGGCUUAUAACUCAAAAACCAAAGCAUUUUGAGGAAAUCUGACAUGGAUAAAAAUGUUUAUCAGGUCAAGAUCUAUCUGCCCUGAAAUUUUCAGAUGAAUCGGUCAAUCGGUUGUUGGGUUGCUGCCCCUGAAUUGGUAAUUUUGAGGAAAUUUUGCUGUUUUUGGUUAUUAUCUUGAAUAUUAUUAUAGAUAGAGAUAAAUUGUAACAGCAAUAAUGUUCAGCAAAGUAAGAUCUACAAAUAAGUCAACAUGAUCAAAAUGGUCAGUUGACCCCUUUAGGAGUUAUUGCCCUUUAUAGUCAAUCUUUAACCAUUUUUCAUAAAUCUAAGUAAUCUUUUACAAAAUCUCCACUGAAACUACUAGGCCACAAUCAUCUUUGGGGUAUCUAGUUUGAAAAAUGUGUCCGAUGACCUGGCCAUUCAACCAAGAUGGCCGCCACGGCUAAAAAUAGAACAUAGGGGUAAAAUGCAGUUUUUGGCUUAUAACUAUGAAACCAAAGCAUCUAGAGCAAAUCUGACAAGAAGUUAAA